CCGGCUCCGGCGACCGCGGGGGAGAAGCUGUUGGGGGAGGGCCGGAACGCACCGCCAUCGGCGUCCGGGGCGGGGGAGCCGGGAAACCGUCGUCGCCAUCGCCCCGCCAGCCCGAGGCGCGGGAGGGGCCCGGAAAGCUCCCUCCCGCCCGCUCGCCGCUGCCGGCGGCCCCGGGGGCGCCCCUUCCGCGGCCGAGGCCCCCGCUCGCGUGGGGAAGCUUCUACCUGCGAGCCUGCGGCCCCUGCCCCCGGCACCCGAGACAUCCCCGACCCGGCGCGCCGGAUUCUCUGCCAGGUUUUACAGCCUCCCUCGCCUUGGGACCGCCGCGGAGGACCCGUUCCCGCCACUUCGGACCUCGCGAGCGGGGCUGAGCUGCUUGGGUCGGGGACACCACCAGCCUCUGGAGAAACGGCCCGAAGCACCCCGAAGAAGAGGGGGUCCCAGUCCCCUGCCCCUCCCUUGUGCGCACCCCCACCCCCAGCUUGCCUGGAACCUGACUCCACACCUUUGUCGACCGGGACAGGGACUGGGGGUUGCACCCCAGAUCAGAAAGUCAGAGGUGGCCCUCCGAAUCGGCGCGGACUUCCGAGGAACCUCAGCCAAUUCUCGACCCCCUUACCACCUGCAAGGCCUUAGGAAUCGGCUCCAGAAAGCUCGAGCUUAUCUGCGUGUUUCGUUUUAAAAAUCACUUCUAAGAUAAAACCUAACUAGGCUUUCCCCUUCAGACUUUCAGUAACUCCUGUUUGGCAAAUUUUGACAUUCACUCUAUCCUUCGUCUUUGUAAGGACAUAUCAAGACUUAGAAGGCUUUGAUUACACAUACGGAUGGCAUGAGUCGUGAUAUAAAAUAGUAUUGUUUUCACGUGUACUUCGAAGUCAUCUCAUUUGAAAUUAACUGUCAUAAUUGACUAUUUGGAAUAUUCAACCUAAAUACUACCCGCUGCUGUGGUGACGGGGGGUGGAGGAAGCGUGGUGGAACCCCAACACCUAGUGAGGGGUGGCUGAUUAAUACCACGGCUCACAACAUAACAGAGCGGCUCAUUCCAUGAACAACCCCGGGGGGAUUUCGAAUUCUAUCAUCUGGGCAAAAGAUGUGAUGAGUGUAACUUCCUGUUUUCUCCAAACUAAAACACUACGCAGAUUCCUGUACCGCUCUGGGACAGAAAUCCUCAGCCAGAGCAGAGGCCGUCCCCAGAGUCCACACUGUUUCCUGCAUAAAGUGGGUUAUCUCAGAAGAAACAUCCCACUGGUCUGUGUGAUCCUUCUAUUGAAAUGUGGUCUUUUAUCUACAUCUAAGUAUCUCUAGAAGUAAUGCGUUUGUAUGUACUUGUCACUCAGAUAUGUAAUCCCUUAAUUUGUGCGGGGUUUUGGGGUGUGAAAAAUUCUUGGUUUAUAUCCUACACUUUUAAAUAACCUCGUCAAAACUUACAUG
rnacentral:lncRNA from 1 species